rnacentral:rRNA from 1 species
UACGAAGGGGGCUAGCGUUGCUCGGAAUUACUGGGCGUAAAGGGCGCGUAGGCGGGUGUUUAAGUCAGAGGUCAAAUCCCAGAGCUCAACUCUGGAACUGCCUUUGAUACUGGACACCUAGAGUACGGGAGAGGUGUGUGGAACUCCGAGUGUAGAGGUGAAAUUCGUAGAUAUUCGGAAGAACACCAGUGGCGAAGGCGACACACUGGCCCGUUACUGACGCUGACGGCGCGAAAGCGUGGGGAGCAA